rnacentral:rRNA from 1 species
UACGUGAGGGGCAAACGUUGUUCGGAAUUACUGGGCGUAAAGGGCUCGUAGGCGGCCAACUAAGUCAGACGUGAAAUCCCUCGGCUUAACCGGGGAACUGCAUCUGAUACUGGAUGGCUUGAGUUCGGGAGAGGGAUGCGGAAUUCCAGGUGUAGCGGUGAAAUGCGUAGAUAUCUGGAGGAACACCGGUGGCGAAGGCGGCAUCCUGGACCGACACUGACGCUGAGGAGCGAAAGCCAGGGGAGCAAACGGG